CGCUGGCGGCGUGCCUAACACAUGCAAGUCGAACGGAGCUUAUUUAUCAGAUCCCUUCGGGGUGACGAUUUUUAAGCUUAGUGGCGGACGGGUGAGUAACGCGUGGGUAACCUGCCGUAUACAGGGGGACAACAGUUGGAAACGACUGCUAAUACCGCAUAAGCGCACAGGACCGCAUGGUCUGGUGUGAAAAACUCCGGUGGUAUACGAUGGACCCGCGUCUGAUUAGCUAGUUGGUGAGGUAACGGCCCACCAAGGCGACGAUCAGUAGCCGACCUGAGAGGGUGACCGGCCACAUUGGGACUGAGACACGGCCCAAACUCCUACGGGAGGCAGCAGUGGGGAAUAUUGGGCAAUGGGGGAAACCCUGACCCAGCAACGCCGCGUGAAGGAAGAAGGCCUUCGGGUUGUAAACUUCUUUUACCAGGGACGAAGAACGUGACGGUACCUGGAGAAAAAGCGACGGCUAACUACGUG
rnacentral:rRNA from 1 species